GGAAGAGGAUAACUGUCGGGCACCGUUACCGCAUUGACCUUACGGUAGUCGGUGCAAAACCUGAACGUUCCGUCAGGUUUGGGAACCAGAAGACACGGAGAACUCCACGGGCUACAGCUUGGUUUAGCUAACCCAUUGUCUAAGUUUGGUAACCGCGCACAUUGCUGAGGAGUGUUGCGAAGCAUCACUCCAUCCUCGUCAUCACCCGCACAACCACGAGAGGAACCCAGAUCAACGGCGGUAACUACGGAAGAGAUAGUGGGCUUUUUCAUCUGAUCCGCAGCAUCUGCGAGGGGUUUCUCACGGUCAUGCUAUUGUAUAAGGACCACAGAACCGGGCAGACAGUGAUGAACCUGUGACAGGCAGAAGUACUAGCACUUUGUCACCAGUUUCAAAGGACCUCUGACGGUGUGCCCAAAAACGAGCUCCGCCGGACUGAAUCCGAGGGACUCCUGAACAGCUUCACGCACGGCAAACAGAAUUAAAGGGACACCCUCAUCCCAAUCACGAGCCGUUUCCACGCAAUAUUUGCGCAACAUGGAUUUAAGGGUUUGAUGGAAGCGUUCGAGUGCGCCCUGACUUUGGGGAUGAUACGCACUCGAAACUCGGUUUUCCAGUUAAGGAAAUUAACCCCUUCAGAACAAAAGUAGAAACACUCUCUAAUCUCUUUUGGCUGAGGGGAGCUAGUCUUGGGACGAGCUGACUGAGAAUGAGUCGGCGCCGGAGGAAUUUUCUCGCUACGGGCAGAGGAGAAAACCCCUUUGUGCGUAAGCACAAAUUCGUCCGACAGAACAGCGGCGUGAGACAAUGAAGUUACUUUUUGCUCAUUAAGGCGGGCCAAACGGACCUUUAAUCGGGCAUCUAUCCUCGAGUCCGUGGACACCGGUGAAAAUGGAUCGAAGGGUGACAAGCCAGGUUUCGCAUCGGCCUCCGCCGUCGCGCCACCCACAGCUCCAACCCGUUCGUCCACCUCAUCGUCAGUGUUAGAAUGGCCAACAGAAUCACCACCAACAUCAACCUUCCCACCGGUCUUACCACCCUCAGCACUUAUCACAGGAAGAACAUCAAGUUCAACCAAACCUUGUAGAAUUUUACGUUUGAUUUCCUUUUUAAGCAUUUGUUUGCCCAAAGAAAUAUUGUAAUGCUCUGCUAUGGAUUCCAACUCCUUUUUCCUACAUAAUUCAACUUGUUCUGCUGUAGGAUUACCAAUAAAGGCUUGCAAAUUAAACAAUGCCAUGACUGUUACACACCACACCCACACAAACACGCAGCGCGGCAUAACAAACAGGCCGCCAACCGCAGGCCAAAAGCAGACCGCUAAAACAAAGUCGUCCGCCACCAAGCACGCACACCCAGGAAAAGGAAAAUUUUCAAAAAUGUAUAUGGAUUAUAAAUUUUUAAUGAUCUCGGACGAGCCCCCAAUAAAUGUUACGACCCAAGGCUGUCUAGGGUGAGGGAUGUAACAUUUUAUUUGAAAAGCUUUUCCUUUUUGGGUGUGUGUGUGUUUGGAUGGCAGGAGACAGACACGGGAAUAAACUGAAAAUUAUUUAUUAAAGGUGAACCAGUGAACAAAGUGACAAAAACGUGAAUAAUAAUAAUGAUAAUAAUGAUAAUAAUAAUAAUAAUAAUAAUCAGAAAACAAAAAUGAGAAUAGCAAAAUAAUAUUUACAAUAUUUACAGGGGUGGAACACAAAACACAGAACCAAAGGAAAGGGGACGAGAGUGGUGCUAAAUCAACGAAAGAAACAAAACAAAACGAAGCUAACUAUUUUUAAAGACCUCUAAACUAAUCUAAAGAAAAUAAAAAUAAAACAAAAGGUCUUCAGCGUAUACACGCCCUAACUAAACUACACUAGCUAGAUAAAAGUCGGGGAAAAACAUACAAGGGUGGCACUCACUCCUAAACUAGUGUGUCUAAUACAAAAUUAAUAUCUCCCUACGUGUGCACAAUGUAUGUCGCGCGACAAUCUUACCUGUCCGCCUUUCCCCGGCACGGGGAAAACGAAACGCCAGAACAUUCAGGACAAAACAACGGGAUAAAUGAGAUAACGAAAAACGAGAAUGAACUGACAUACACAGGCGGGGUAAAUAUAACAAGCGAAACAGACAGUACACAGUAACAGAAGGGUGUAUAAUUGUACAGUAAAUACAGUAAAUGAGCCGCAAAUGACUGACGCGCGUUUGAACUGGCGUCCUUUUUAAAACUGUGGGAGAAUGGAGAUUGGUGGAACCUGAUGUGACGUCAUUUAUAUACUGCAAUGAUUGACAUGUUGAUGGUCCAAUCGGGAAACUGGGUGUAUCUGGAGAGAGAGACAGCGGAGAGAGAGAGAGAGAGAGAGAGAGAGAGACACAACAACAAAGACACACCUACACGGACGUAACAAAUGCUGACAAAAAAUCUG